GACGAACGCUGGCGGCGUGCCUAAUACAUGCAAGUCGAGCGGAUGACGGAGGAGCUUGCUCCUCUCGAUUCAGCGGCGGACGGGUGAGUAACACGUGGGCAACCUGCCCUGUAGAUUGGGAUAACUCCGGGAAACCGGGGCUAAUACCGAAUAAUCCUUCGGACCUCAUGGUCCGAUGUUGAAAGACGGCUUCGGCUGUCACUACAGGAUGGGCCCGCGGCGCAUUAGCUAGUUGGUGAGGUAACGGCUCACCAAGGCCACGAUGCGUAGCCGACCUGAGAGGGUGAUCGGCCACACUGGGACUGAGACACGGCCCAGACUCCUACGGGAGGCAGCAGUAGGGAAUCUUCCACAAUGGACGAAAGUCUGAUGGAGCAACGCCGCGUGAGUGAAGAAGGUUCUCGGAUCGUAAAACUCUGUUGUGAGGGAAGAACAAGUACCGGAGUAACUGCCGGUACCUUGACGGUACCUCAUUAGAAAGCCACGGCUAACUACGUGCCAGCAGCCGCGGUAAUAC
rnacentral:rRNA from 1 species